rnacentral:rRNA from 2 species
AAAUUGAAGAGUUUGAUCAUGGCUCAGAUUGAACGCUGGCGGCAGGCCUAACACAUGCAAGUCGAACGGUAACAGGAAGCAGCUUGCUGCUUCGCUGACGAGUGGCGGACGGGUGAGUAAUGUCUGGGAAACUGCCUGAUGGAGGGGGAUAACUACUGGAAACGGUGGCUAAUACCGCAUAACGUCGCAAGACCAAAGAGGGGGACCUUCGGGCCUCUUGCCAUCAGAUGUGCCCAGAUGGGAUUAGCUUGUUGGUGAGGUAACGGCUCACCAAGGCGACGAUCCCUAGCUGGUCUGAGAGGAUGACCAGCCACACUGGAACUGAGACACGGUCCAGACUCCUACGGGAGGCAGCAGUGGGGAAUAUUGCACAAUGGGCGCAAGCCUGAUGCAGCCAUGCCGAGUGUAUGAAGAAGGCCUUCGGGUUGUAAAGUACUUUCAGCGGGGAGGAAGGUGUUGUGGUUAAUAACC